AUAUUAUCUCCACAGCUUUUUUUAGUAUCUAUUAUUGAAGUUACAAUUUUUUUUAUUUAUUUUUUUAUACUGGGGGGGGGGGGACUCCUUACAAAAUAGUUGGUGUAAUGGAAAUAUAAAUUAGACAUUUUUCCUUUUUAUUUAGUUUCAUUUAAGAAAUGUUGGGUGUACGUAAAAAAACAAAACAUUAACCCCUUAAGGACACAUGACGUAAAUAUUCAGUCAUGAUUCCCUUUUAUUACAGAAGUUGUGUACUUAAGGGGUUAAAUAGUCUUACCCAAUCACAAUGUAAUAGAAUUGGCCGAUUUUACUGAUCUUAAUCCUGAGACAGUAUAAACACUGGAAUUCUGUUUACUCAGACAUCGCAAUACGUUUUAAGAGACCUUUUAGGCAUAUUAUGCAUCAUAACUUCAUCUAAAUUAAGUUAUGGUGCCAGGAGGCAAAACCGUUUUCAAACCGUUUAACCCCCAAAGUUGCCUGGUGUGCUAAACUCCCCUCCUCCAGGCAGCAUUCGCCUUCUGAAAUUUAAAUUUCAGGAGUCGUAUUAUGCUGGUAGGCAGGGUGCGCUGAGAGCGAGUAGCUGAUGCGCUCAGCUAAUUAGUGUUUCCCUCCUCACCCCCCCACCCCCCCCCAAUUCAUAAAACUGGCUUGAUAAAAGUACAUUUCUUUUCAAGCCAGUGUUGUGAAUGCAGUCAGCUGCCGCUCUCAAUCAGCGGCGCCCCUGCCCGGCAGUAGUCUGCACUUCCUAAAACUAACAUUUCAGAAGCCAGAUGCUGCCUGGGGGGAGUUGAGAUCGUCGCUGGAGGCAACUUUGGGUUUUGAUCAUGAAGGUAAGAUUGCACACUAAGUCCUCCUAGCAUCAUAACAACUCCAUUUGGAUGAAGUUAUGGGGCCUGGAGUGUCCCUUGAACUGGUUUGAUUAUUGUAAAACAAUGUUAUAAUGCACCAAUGCAUUAUUUUUCUUAAUGCUUAGCUGUGGCUAACCUCUAGAUUUUAUAAUACUUGAAACUCAUUGUCAUCUACAUUAACAUCUGUAAAUAUAAACUUGUGGAUUAAAGCAAAAUGUUUUAAAUAUGGUUUUCUUUCAAUUAGCCAAUCAUUUCUAGAAAUAUGUAUGCUAUCCUAGUGUUGGCAAACAAUUAAUUUCCAGUUACAUGUUCACCUUUCCUUGCCCAAAUAUGUAUUGGAGAAACAUUGCAACUAACAGACACUGUCUAGUGCAUUCACUGUUUUGUAGUAAAUUGUCCUAAUAUGCUAGAAACAAAAAUACGCGACUCUGCCACAACAUUUGGAAAAUGGCAGUAAGAAAACACACAUCUUAAUUUAUUUAUUUAAACAAAAAAUAGGCAAAAAAUUACAAAACCGAAAAGUUAUUAAUGUAUAAAUGCAAAAAGAAAAAGGGUUGAGGACGAAAACCAAAAAAAACAGGUACUUGCUAGGCAGCAUAAAGCCCUCCACUGUUGCUCAGGCAGUGCAUAUAGAUCCAGAGAACAAAAUAGAAAAAAAUAUCAGCUGCGCAAAUAGUUGCUGUGUGCAUUUAACACAGUGUUACUACUCUUUAUUAGGACAAACGUUUUGGGAUAAUCCCUUUGUCAAUGCACCAUGAAAAAAGAAACACUGAAGGGUCAGGAAUACAUAUUUGUGUUCCUGGCCCUAUAGUGUUAAAACCACCAUCUAGUGCUCCCCUGCCUCCCUAAAUAUAGUAACAUUUUACAUGUAUUCAAGUCUGUAGCUGCUGUCUCUUCUCCUAAUCAGCCUGCUUGGAUGACAGCAUCAGAAAUGAUUUUCUGAGCCACACACAAAAUGCUUUCCCAUAGGAUUGGCGGACACUGACCGUGGCACAGCCAGCACCAGUGAAACACAGCCCUAGCCAAUCAGCAUCUCCUCAUAGAGAGGCAUUGCAUCAAAGAAUCUCAAUGAGGUAAUUUCAGUGUCUCCAUUCAGAUGGUGGAGACACUGAAUGACAGUGCAACACUGCCCCAGUAAGCACCUCUAGCAGCCAUCUGAGGAGUGGCCAGUGGAGUUAUUGCUAGGCUGUAAUGUAAACACUGCAUUUUCUCUGGAAACAAAACAAACUGUGUUUACUGCAAAAAGCCUGAAGGGAAUGAUUAUACUCAACAGAACAAAUACAAUAAGCUGUAGUUGUUCUGGUGACUAUAGUAUCCCUUUAACUGCUUCUAAUGACUACUCAAAUUUGUGAUUUUCUGUGGUUACCUACCAAUUUUGUAUAUUCUUUGGUCCUAACAGCAGCACCACUGCUGAAAAAAAUAUGUAUUCUGCGUGUGACCUUCAUAUUUAAUUAUGAGUUCAAAAUCCUAAGCUACUAAGAAAACAAAACAUGCUCUGGAAGAUAAGAAAAUGGUUUGGCAUCUUACAAGGGAAUUCUGAUUCUUUGACACCUAUAGAGAAUUAUGGGAGCUGAUUUACCUUUUAUUUGCUAAACCAAUUGCAAAUGUUUACAUAUGUUAUCAGUACAAGUGUGUGAAACAUUUCCAUUUACAGAGAAAGGAAAAUUUACACAAAUCAAAUAGUUUUACCUAAACAUAAAUCUGUUCAUGACCAAAUUAACUAUUUUAUAUCCAAAUGCCCAUAAGAUUUAAUUUGACCCUGCAACAUCUUCCAUUUUCUCCAUAGAUGGUGAAAUAAUGAUACUUGGCUAUCAAUAUAUUUAAUAUUUUUUUUUAUUUUUUUUUUGUACUGUAUAUACAUAAAUAUUUUUCUUAGUCAACCCACUACUUGUUUAUCCUCAAUAAGACUAAAAGUGAAUGGCUUAGAACUCCCAUCCUUCCUUCCCUCAAAUAGAGGUAUGCAGUACUCCUAACUGGAUUACUCAAAGACCAUAUGUGGCCCUACAAGGUCCAGUAGUGGCUGACCUUCGGAAGCCAUUCUGCCAAGCAAGUCCAAGGUACACGUUUUCUCAGGGCAUUUCAGCAUAUGGCUAAUUUCUGUGUUCUUUGCUUUUGUAUUACAGCUGUCCUGCCCACCACAUAAGUUAAUUAGUUUGCAGUAAUGCCCUCUUGUGUAUCAGACAUUUUGAAUUUUAUUUGAGAACAGCAAGGUUAAUUGUUUAAACAAUGACUCACCUGUGAGCUUACAGUUUAAUAGCCUUUGUAGUGGUAGAAAAACUAAUUUGAAUGUACACUGAGAUUUGGCAUAAUGCACAGGUUUGUUUUGAUUAUUUAUAUUUUAGUGGGAGUGUACUUGUCUUGGUAUUCUUUUCAUGACUGUAGGUGAGAGUCCUUAUAUAUAUUGAGCACUGGCUUUUCUCCAGGUCAGCCUUAACAAAGGCCUUUUACCAUUAAAGGUUUAGAUGUGUACCUUUUUGUCUGGUGAAUAUGAUUUUCUUAAUGAAAUCCAAAUCACAGUGGACACCAUUUGUGAUUUCUAGCCAAUUUUAUUUUUUGACAGUAAGCUACAGCUAAAGUCUCAGUGGAUUGGAUUUGUUGUUCCAGCACAUCCCACAGAUGUUCAAUCAGAUUUAGAUCUAGGGAAUUUUGAGGCCAUGGCAACACAUUGAACUGUUUGUCAUAUUCCUUCACACCAUUCCUGCAUCAUUUUUGCAGUGUGGUGGGUUGCAUUGUCCUGCUGAAAGAGGCCACUGCCAUCAGGGAACACCAUUUUAAGAAGGGGUGUAUGUGGUCUGCAACAUUUUUAGGUAGGUGGUCAAAGAAACAUCCUCAUGAAUGCAAG